ACUCAAAGGUGUUCAUGGACAGAUCCGGUAGGUGUUUCAACUGUUUAAUAAAAGCUAAAUUGUCAUUUGUAUGUAGGUAGUCUGUCACUGUCACACAAACCUCCAGAAAUGAAUUAUAUUUUGCAUUAAAUUAGAAUUGCACACUUUUUUAUACGUUUGAAUGCCUUCAAUCAGACAUCUAGUCGAACUAGUAUUCCAGUCAGCACUUUCUAAUCUUUCUUGACUUUUCUGGAAUGACUGGAAAUUUAAAUCAGACGUGUAUGUAUUAUGUGUACUGUUGUUUUGCUUAUAACAUCCUUUUUUUCUUUUCUUUUUUUUACAGGCGCUGCCUGAGAAUGUUCUGGAGUUAUUAAGGAAAUGCUUGACAUUUCUUCCAUCCAAAAGCCUGUGAGUCUGUUCUCUACUUUACUGCGCUGUGCACAUCUGGAGACUUCUGCAAAGAUGAUGAUGAAGACUACCUGUUGCCAACACUGGCUGUCACACAGUAACACAAACAACCUGAUUAACUGAUUGAGGCAGCUUUCCCCAUUGGAAAGUGCUGUCUGACAUCAAGGCCUAUCUUUACAAGGAGAACUUGGUGUGGAAAGAGGCCAGUGUGGAUAUUCUUCCUCUUGUUCGAGGCCUAGGGGUGGGCAGCCAGUGCAGUUUUAACACUGUUGUGUUUAGACUCCCAUACCAACUGUCAGACAGAUUGAGGUGGACAUCUACAAUCUACAAAGUCAUUUAGCAGACGCUUUUAUCCAAAGCGACGUACAAAUGAGAGUUAAUACGACACAAGCAAGGAUGAAGUCAAGAAACAUAGCAAGAGUAAGUGCCAUGGGUUAAGUCUGAGUCCAUUAGGACGCAAGUGCUUUUAGGUUGUGCAAGCGGUCAGUGCGAUACUUAUGGUUGUCAUCUGUGGAGAUCAGGGAUGGGCAACUGGAGGCCCGGGGGCCGCAUACCGCCCGCACCCUCACUUGAAGUGGCCCUCAGUACAACUACAUGCAUUUGAGCAUGAAAUUUUAAAAGUGCAGUGUAAAAAUGCACAAAAUGACUUCUUGCAAUUAAUGUUGGUCUGCUGUUCUUGCACUGAAAAAAAAGAAAUCACAAUAAGUGGUUAUUUUUUAUUUGCUUCAGACCUUUUGUAUUCCUAUUUAUACUGUUAUACAUGCAUUUGAGCAUGAAAUAUGUUAAGUUACUGCACUAUAAACAUAUUUAAAAUUGCAGUUUCAUCAUAUCUGAUUAAGUGCACGGUCCUAUAUGUGGCCCUGUGGUCGUGUCGAUGAAACAUUGUGGACCCCUCCAGCAUUUAAGUUGCCCAUCCCUGGUGUAGAUCAAGUGUGAAGAUGUUCAGUAAAGAGUUGGUCUUCAGUAUCUUCUUAAAGAUUGAUAAGGACUCAGCAGAUCGGAUGGAGUUUGGAAGUUCGUUCCACCACCAGCUCACUACAGAGGAGAAGAGUCUGGUUUGAGGCGCAGGGCCCUUCAGCGGCAGAGGAGCCAGACGUCUCUCACAUGAAGAGCGUAGUGGGCCGGAGGGUUUGUGGACCAGAACAAAGGAGAUCAGAUAAGAAGGCGUUGACGUUGCUAUUUUGUAGGCAAGAGACAAGAGACGCUGCCACCAGUACGAUGAGCUGCUGUCGUCUCCUCAGGGCCACAUCAAGUUCAGGCGUGUGUUGAAAGCCUGGGUGGUGUCCCACCCUGACCUGGUCUACUGGCAGGGUCAGACACUCUUCCUUCAGUCUCUCUUGAAAUUUCUUUUUAAGUCUUAUUCUCUCUUUUUUUUCCUUCUCUUUGUUUUUCCAUCAGUUUUCUUUCUCCCUCUAUUUCAUUUUCGCUAUUCCUUCUUGUACUAUACAGGAGUAGACACUAGAUGGUGCUCACGUCACAUCUUCGACUCAUCUCAGUUACAACUGUGUGGCCCUAUUCAAAAACAAAAAAAAUGUUUUGAUUUUCUUUGCAUUAUUUCAGAUUUGGAAUGAUGUCCAUCUGACCAAUUAUGUUAUCACACAUCAGUGCAAUAAAUGCAAAGGAUCCUGGCGGACUGAGCUUGGUAGCUGUUGUCAUGGAAUUCAUGAGAGAAUAUUAGAGAAUCUGAUUUAUUAGAGAAUAACGUAGGUUUUCAAUCACAUUGGCACACAACAGAAAGAACACUCGCAGACAUCCUGUCAUCUAAACAGGAUAAGCAGGACGGUUAGGAUAAGGUGUUGAUUCUGAUUCAGGAGAAUAAUAUGAGAACAAAUCCAGGAAAUAAAAGCGUGUGAACCAAGCCUCACAAGAGUAAAAUACACAUGAACUCCACAUUAUAAAAAGACAGGACAGAAACGUGGGCCGGAGCUGUUUUGACCAAAUUGCAUGUCUGUACUUUGCCAGUGGAAUCUGUAUUUUGAUAUAUUUUAAUUUAAUUCAGCACAAGGCUGUUUCCCAAGAACUGUUCAUUGUCAUCCAUUGUUUGUCAAGAUUUCCCUCAACAAUGUCACCCUUGUUUGAGAACAAAGUGAUUCAGCUGCCAUUUUAAGAGUUUGACAAAUGGAGCGACAGCCUGCAAGCUAGUUCAGCAAAACACACCUUUAUCCAAUCCAGCGGUCUCCAAUGCUGCUGCUGCUGCAUCUGUAUUGUUGCUUGCUUACAGCAUCCACCUGUACGCUCCAAGUCCGGGGGGGGGGGGGGUGUUACUA